rnacentral:rRNA from 1 species
GUCUAUGGCCAUGCCACCCUGAACAAGCCUGACCCCGUCUGAUCUUGGAAGCUAAGCAGUGUCGAGCCUGGUUAGUACUUGGAUGGGAGACCACUUAGGAAGAGCAGGUGCUGUAGGAA